GGCUAAAUGGUGCAGUGGUAGCACAUGCGUGCUUAUUUGAGGAUAGGUAACCAUCUUCAUGCAGAGACCCUUGUUUGAUUCAAGGUCUGGCCU